AAAUCAAAUUUUCUUUCUCAUUUUCUCCUCUUGGCCGUGGGUUCCUCGAGAGAAAGAAAGGGAGAAGAAUUUGCUCACAACUUGCUCAUUCCUUGCUCAAAUCUUGUGAUUCUUGAGGGCUUUGAAAGGUUUGGAUCGUGUUGAGCUAAGGAAGGAAGAUUCAGAACAAGCUGUGAAGUUUCAGGAUAGAGGAGAAUAACCCAAGGCCCUAAUAGGUGUUGCUGUGAGUAGCUGUUGAUCGCUGCCAGGAGGUGAUUGGAUUGUUUUACGGGAAGACUUCUUGUAGUGAGUAGAUUAAACGAAGACUGAUAGAAGUAAUAGUUAGAUGUAAGGUUAGAGCCUUGGGUAGAGAAGCUUACUGUUACUGGUUAAAGCAUAUAGGGAUGGUUGUAUAACUUACUUUGGUUUUGGGUAGGUUCUGAUGCAUUGCUCUUCUGCAACUCUCCGGUGCGGGGAUUGUAGGAAGUAUAUUGGACUUAGGGUGUUAUCGCAUUCUGAACCUUGUUGUCUGUUAAGGCAUUACGUUAUUGUAUAUUACAUGUAUUGAAAAUCCGUCGUCACUCACGAGUGCUUGCCUUGUUAAGGCCGGAUGUAUGGGUUUGGGCAAGUAUAUGCAUAUCAGGUUUUGGAAAUGUUUUAGAAAACAAAUGAAAAAAAAAUAGACCCUUAUUUGUAAA